UCUCCUCGCGCGGUCGCGCCUCGAUCCGAGCCCUCGACCCGCUCCCGCCUCCCUGCCCCACGCCGCCGGCACCUCCUCCGCCGCCUCCUCUCCACCGCCGCCAAUGUAGCAUGGGAGGUUUCGCCCCCCGCCACGAAGAACCCGAAGAAAGCGGCACGCCCCGUCGGGAAGCGGGCGGCGCGCGCCGACCCCUCCGGCCUCCCCGACCCCCUCGCCAUACUGCGCGCCGUCGCUGCCCACGGAUCGGAUGACUUCUCCGGGAUCUACAAGAUCAACGGCUAGGGCGCAUCGCUGCUGCGCGUGUACCGCCAGCACCACGAGCGCAACGCCUGGGGGCUCCGCCGGCCACAGCAGUCCGCGCGCCUUAGCCUGGAUCCCCAUGCGUCGUCUACCCCGAUGGCGUGAGGGUGCGGACCUGAGGAAUGUGGCUGGGGACGAGGUUUGGCGGCUCCAAGGUUCGUCACCAACGUCCACGUCUCCACAAGCCCAACGAUCAGAAGCAGGCAUCCAUAUGGAGGGAUCCUUCCCUGGUUACGCUGGAGGAAGGGCUCGAACCGAGUGCGCUGCCUCCGUCUCUCUCUGGCUCCACUGCUGGUCUCCGUUGUCUGACCCUCGGCAGGCCCUCUUCCCCUCCUCCGUUUUCUACAAAAAAACAGCCAACAAAGCAUCAAUAUUAGAUGAGGCGAUUGAGUACUUAAAGUCCCUCCAAAUGCAACUUCAGAUUAUGUGGAUGACCACUGGGAUGGCGCCAAUGAUGUUUCCUGGUUCUCACCAGUUCACGCCGCCGACGGCCGUGGGGGCAUGAAUUCAGCAUGCAUGCCUGCGGCACAGAGUCUAUAUUUGUCUUUUUUGCCAAACUUGAUGCGUCGAGCUUUGAGUUACUUUACGGUUCUGGUUACUUGAAUGACCGAGGAAGAAACUGUUUACUUUUAAAUGUACUACUGCAGAUCAAAGCUGAACUCAUCUAUUUUCUUUCUUCACUCUCAGGCGAAGAUUUAUCCCAUGCAGAAAAUCUCUCAUGGUUCUACUUCUACCUUAUGUAGAAAAGCGAAUAUUAUCUGUUGAUGAGCUUUUUGCUAUUUGGUACUGACCAUAUUAGUUCCCUAGGGCUGUAAAAACAAAAACUUCAUUUCUACCCUAUGAUUAUGUGUCAAGGAUAUUUUGUAGAUUGCAAGUUUGAUUUCUUUAUCUUCAACAUGGUUGAUUUAGUUUCUCACCUUGCCUAAAAAUUCAGGUUGGAAUGUUGGCGGUCCUGCCUAUGCAGAUAAUGUAUCUGUUAUAAUGUGAUCAUGACAGAAAAUUAUUUAUUUGUUAUAUACCUGCAACUCACUUUGUUUAACUUUCACAUCACCAUUUCAUUUUUUGACAGUGGGUUAGACAAGUGUGGUUUUCAGGUGUAGUUGCCCUAUUGGUUUUAUUUACUUUUCCUGUGUUGAUUUCUCUUUUACUGUAAAGCAGAGCUGACUGCUCGUGGCAGCGCUGGAUCCGGUGGCCAGCCGUCACCGUUGCCUUUCCUCUUUGACGUGAGAGCACAUGGAGAAGGGGCUCGUGGAAGCGCUGGAUCUGAUGGCCAGCCGUCGCUGUUGCUUGUCCUCUUUGACAUAAGAUCCACACUGCUCCACUCCAUCCAGGUCGCCGGCGAGGUCUCCGGCCAGUUCGCCACAUAACUUGUAGCCCAGGUCGUUGACAUAUUUGGGUUCUAGGUCACAAAAACAAAAUUUAGAGUUAAUUUAUCUGGCUCAGCAAUUUCCUGCAUUAGAUAUCCUUUUGUGCUUAGUUUUGUUGUUGUGAAUUCUCCCAUUUUUAGCUUUGAGUUAAACACACAUUUGUUUUAGUCAACUGACAUUCCUCGAUGUUUUCAAACUGAUAUUAUUUUUGUAAGUUUAGGUUUGCACUUGGCUUUAUCAGAAUUAGAAUAUGCACAACAUGUGUUGGAGAA